GACCACCAUAUGUACACGGUGGAAUGCCUAAAAUCAACAAUUAAAAGAUGAACUCAUAAACCGUUUGGUUAUGCUGUUCGGAAAUGAAACAUUCAACAAAACCAAGGUCCUUUAGAAAGCUGACACAUAUCUAAAGUAUGUGAGGGACCAAUAUAGAACACAUUUAGAGAAGAACAAAAAGUACGAGCGUCCCCCCAUGAAUCCAGACUAGAGGGAGUGGAAGGACCUGGUUUCAGAUGGAAAGGAGAAAGCUGAAAAGAGAAAAGGACAUACAUCACCAGGUGAAGGAAGGUUGUUCGACACAUUGAAGGCAACUAAGGAAAGACUAGAAAAGCAUGGGAAACACAAACUUGGAUUUGGUGGUUAUAUGAAAGUUGCCACACGAAUUGGCUCUAAAUUCAAUAGAGUGCCCACAGAAGAUGACAUGAAAAUUGCCUUCUAGCAAGGCUAUGGAGCCAUGGCUGAACACCUAAGAG